GCUGCAGUUAAAGGUCCUAACACGUGU
rnacentral:sRNA from 1 species